AAACCUCGGAUCGAUGCUUCGACCCCGUCGAAGCUCGGUUCGGACUGUGGGAGUCUGCCGGCGAAGCGUGACUUCGUCGGCUCUCCUCAAAAGCAUUAGCUGUGGGUGGCGAGCCUGGCAUGGCACGGCCUGUUCGACGUCGUAGUGAUCGUCGCGGGCUGGAAGUGUACGGCUCGACGUGACCCAUGCUUCUCGAGUCUUGCGAGCCCGUCCCUCCGUGGGACGGCCGCGCCCCAUCGAA
rnacentral:misc_RNA from 1 species